GCUCCAGUGGCCUAGUGGUUAGAGCAUCCGCCUCGGAUGUGGGAGGUUGUUAGUUUGAACUCCAGCCGAGUC